CUUUGCGAUCUCAUAACGCGCACCUCACGUUUAACGAUCUGUCUCAGUAUCGAAGGUUAUAUAAUAACUUUGGAUGAUAAAAGUGCAAGUUAUUAGAGUCAGCGAAUAAUCGGCUUAUGAACUUUGUCCAACCCAUAAUCCUAAUUAUUCACAAUCAAGUACAUACUCAAAACGUAAAAGCUGUAAUUAACAGCUCAACAAAGUAGUAGUCGUAAAUAUUUAGAUGUGAUUUGUUGAUUAAAAGGGUAUUACUUUCUCUCCUUGUUUUGAGAAUUGGCCAAAUAAAUAUUCAACCCAUACAACUAUAUGUUAUGAAUGUAUACACAUAUGUACAUGCAUACUUACGUACGUACACAUUAUGCGUGAAAGGUAUCGAUACACACAUCAGUCCCCAUAAACUAUAGGACCUACGUUUCUUAAGUCACGAGUGGAGAAGUCGUAAUAUUGUGACAACUUUAUAGCUGAUUGCGAUGUUUAAUAGGCUGUAAACUGAUAACAAAUUGAAUGAAAUACGAGAUUGACGUGGAUGCAAAAGUUGAACGUGAUCUUGGUUGUUGAUUGUAUCAGUGCUCUAAUUAAUAUGCACAUAUUUACCACAUAAUGAAUCUCUGAGUGAGGAAUGUACAGCGUAUGCAUUCCAUUUUAAAAAGGAUAAAGCUCCAAUCGACAGAUUGUAUCUCUAAUUCCAAGAAAUGAAUCAACAAAUUUUUCCUUCUAUAUAUGUCUUGAUUCAGUAUUUAAAUACUUUACAAAAUUCCGACCCCGAGCUGCAAAAAUUAAUUUGUGUUUAGCAAUUAAGUUUUAUGUGUACAAACUCUGGAGAAUUUGGGGUUCAAUUUCAUGUGCAUAUGUACAUAUAUGUCCAAUUCUACUUGUUAGUCUCCAUUAAACAUAGAUUACAAGCAGUUAAACAUAUAUAACGUUGACACAUGCAAUUAGUACAUAUAUACAUAUUUAUAUUGAUUACAUAUGUGUUACAUUAGCGUACUUAUGUAAUUGCUCCGGAUAUUUAGGCGUUUCUUUUAUUUCUAUUAAAUUACUUUGUCUCUGUUAUCAUUUGCCAAAUGCAUUAAUGGAUUAUUGAUAAACUAGAAAAUUACCUUUGUAUGUCCAUUUACGAAUUGCAUAAUCUGCAGGUAGUCCAAUUUGUUCUCAUUUUUAACCAAAUCCUUUUUAAAGAUUAGCAGAUUGAGCAAAGUGAUCAAUGAGGAAAUUACAUAAAGUAAAAUUCUAUGUUUGUGAGCUUAGCAUACAAACAAACGUCAACCGUGUAAAAGAAAAGUGCUUUUAUUAAGUAGCGCAAGCUACUUUAUGCAAUGACUUAGUUAGUCUGUCCGUCCGUCUGUCUGUCAACACGAUAACAGGAGAACGGAUCGAGAUAAUCGAAAUCGGUUUUCGCCAUCAUACGUAUGACCCUAGGGGGAGGAUCCCCUAAGCUUUUGGGGGCAGCCGGACCACACCCCCUUGCGCCCAGUGGGUGUGGUUGGGGCAAAAUGAGAUUUUUACAAAAAUUGAAUCUAUGGAUGAAGGGCAGUUAAAUUAAGUGUUCCCAAGUUGUGCCACACCCCCUCGCGCCCAGUGGGUGUGGUUGGGGCGCAGUGGGUGUGGUUGGGGCAAAAUGAGAUUUUGAGAAAAAUUGAAUCUAUGGAUGAAGUAGAGUUGAAUUAUGUGUGUCCGAGUUGUGCCACACCCCCCGGGCGUCAGGGGGUGUGGUUGGGGCAAAAUGAGAUUUUUAGAAAAAUUGAAUCUAACAUGUAUGACAAGUAAAACAGUAAGAUUGAUUAAUUAAUUAAUUAAUUAAGAUUGACUAAUUAAGAUUGAUAAAACAGUAAGACAUGUAAGAUGCAUGAUUUUUCAGAGUGGCUACAUAUAAAUGAGGAAGUUUAAAUUAUUUGCUAAUUUUGAAAUAAUUCAGAUUCCGCAAUCUAUAUGUUGUAUCGCAUUCUCAGCAUUAUUGCGCUACUUGUGUACCCUGCGUUGCCGCAGUUUAUUGAAAGCUUAAAGCGCUAUAAAAUUCAAUUUAUAAGUCCACUUGGAACUACGUAAUCAUAAGAUAGCCAGAUUUCAUUUUCUCUGAGCACAGAAAUCCAAAUGCUUAGAUGUAUAUCGUGCAUAUGGGUACGUAUAUAUAUAUUUAUAUACAUGCAUAGCAGUAAUGUAGAUAGAUAAUAGCAAUAGUGCAUUGUACCAUGUUUUUAAUUACUACAUCAAUAGUCAGGUCAAUAUUAAAACCUACCUACAGUGUGCAAAACUGUUUAUUUUAUUCUUCUUUAGUCAGAGAGGUUGUAGGGUAUUACAACAAUUUGUUCCAAAUCAACCCAGCCCUAAGUAAUUAUGCACACUAGAACAUGAUCUCACUAAUUUGAAAAAUUCAUGCAUCCGCCAUAGUUAAUGAUAACUUUUUAACCGGUGGAAAAUUUGUCCCCCAUUUAGAAAAACCAGUCAGGUUCAAGUGGAAUUUGACACGAGGUUUACAGGACAGAAGGACGGACAGGGAUCACGGGUAAUCAGGUCUGACUCGGACUUUUUUCCUAAUAAAUACUUACGGAAGAUGUGCAAUCCAACAGAACGAAAUUAAAUAUUUGAGCUAUCCUUAUUUCGAUAAAAAAUUAUAAUAUGUGUCACUUGUAUUACUCGUGUCAACACAAUCUGAA